rnacentral:rRNA from 1 species
UGGGGAAUCUUGCGCAAUGGGCGAAAGCCUGACGCAGCGACGCCGCGUGGGGGAUGAAGCUUUUCGGAGUGUAAACCCCUUUCGACCGGGACGAAUGCCCGCAAGGGAGUGACGGUACCGGUAGAAGGAGCCCCGGCUAACUACGUGCCAGCAGCCGCGGUAAGACGUAGGGGGCCAGCGUUGUCCGGAAUUAUUGGGCGUAAAGGGCUCGUAGGCGGUCUGUUGCGUCGGGAGUGAAAACAUCUGGCUUAACUGGGUGCUUGCUUUCGAUACGGGCAGACUGGAGGUAUGCAGGGGAGAACGGAAUUCCUGGUGUAGCGGUGAAAUGCGCAGAUAUCAGGAGGAACACCGGUGGCGAAGGCGGUUCUCUGGGCAUUACCUGACGCUGAGGAGCGAAAGUGUGGGGAGCGAACAGGAUUAGAUACC